AAAGGUUCAGGGUUGUAUUCAUCAAUGUCGAGUUCAACGAUGUUCAGUCAUGAAGGCACAAUUCUCAAUCUUCUUCUAAUUAAUCAGUAAUUUAUGAUUUUGUUUUUUCUGGCGUGACAAUUAAAAACAUAAUAAAUGGCGACACCAAGUGUCUUAAAGAUGCACAUUUAAGCGGUUGGCUCAUAUGAUUUUAAAACAAAGAAGCUUUCUUUUACCCUUUUGUACAGUUCAGUUUUCUUGUUAAGUGAAAAUAAUCUUGAUGGUUUCAACUUUAUACGUGAUUUAUUGUUAUUAUACCCAAUAAAUGUUAACAACUUACAACUAUGUUAAUCAAAAAUCAAUAGAUUGUGUGUUAAAAGGGUUGUAUGGUUCUUGGAAUGAUUUAUAGAAGCCGAGCUGCAGUAACACGUUAGGAGUUAACCUCAACACGUUUUACUUUUGGUAAACUAUACUUUCAAAUUGCCUGUUAUCUUCAACAUGAUAUUGAUCAAAUGGAGCGAUUAUCUCAUCGACUACAUCACAAUUAUAACAAUUAUUACAAUUAAAUGUAAUGAUAUCAAUUCAAGAAAAUGUUGAUCUCUUAAUAAACAAGAGAUACAUGGCGUUGUUUAUUGGAUCAUAUCUUUUCCUUUCUAUAACACUUCCAAGCCCUUUUUUUACUAAUUUAAUCAGAUAAAGACAAAAAAAGAGUUGAGGAAGUGCAAGAUGAAAGUGAAUCUCUUACCAGGAUCAAGAGGAACCCAAAAUGCGAAACAUGUUGAUGUUGAUGGCUCAAUAAAUGAAAGCUUUCGACAUUUGCUUCUGGACUUGGUUUGGGUUGACCAUGUUUUGAUUGGCUUGUAAAUCUGGUUGAUAAAUUUGGUUAAUGCGGAGAAAGUAA